rnacentral:misc_RNA from 1 species
GUGUGGAAGUACAGAUCACAAGCUCUAAGAAAGAAGCAGUUGAUCAGCAGUCUCAGCAAAUGCCUCGAAAGCGAGGUGGUGAAUUGUCUGAUGACCUUUCAGGUGGGUUGCAACCUGAGCCGUUUGAGCCUGAAGUCUUUGAUGAUUCUUUGGGGUUUGUAGUUUUGAAAGGACACCUUGAAGAGGCGGAAAAAAUUUUGCAAAAUCUUGAGGAGGCAAUUGAAGGGAUGCAUUCACAUACGGGAUCCUUUGGUGGAGCUGCUGGUAAAAUGGCAGCUCCAGCUGUAUCAAAACUA